rnacentral:rRNA from 1 species
CACGUAGGCGGACUGGAAAGUUGGAGGUGAAAUCCCAGGGCUCAACCUUGGAACUGCCUUCAAAACUAUCAGUCUGGAGUUCGAGAGAGGUGAGUGGAAUUCCGAGUGUAGAGGUGAAAUUCGUAGAUAUUCGGAGGAACACCAGUGGCGAAAGCGGCUCACUGGCUCGAUACUGACGCUGAGGUGCGAAAGCGUGGGGAGCAAACA